rnacentral:lncRNA from 1 species
CAUCAAUGGAGGACCCCCUUUUUAUCCCGUCCAAGGUUUGCAGCCUGUUCAAGAUAGCAAGCCAAGCUACAAAGCUGAAUUUAUGCAAACUUGGAUUAGAUCUUCUGCAUUUUAUCCCUUACCCACUUACAAGCAUCAGCCUGAGUGAAGCAUCCAGAGGAAUUUCCUUUGAAAAUUGCUCUACCCUCAAAAGCAGAGCAGGGGAAAGAAAGAUCGUUCCACAUAUGGCUGCUUGAAUAUGCACAAACAAUUCCGAUCCUGUUGGAGGACAAACCCACUCAUCUUCAUAAAUGACACCAGCAACAAGAGAGUUCAAGCCCAUUGCAGCAUUAUAAAUUAGUUUUUUAGGAUAAACAUCCGAACAACACCCCAUGAGGAUGCCAAGGAUCAUUCCAUAAGAAACUACAAUGUUCAUUACCAUUUACCAAUAAUAUAUCUAACAAGUGGCUUAAGGAUCGACCGUGCCUCGAGGAGCUUCCUCCAAAUACACGUGCUAUCAUUCUUGGGAGGAAAAAAGGAAAUACGUCCUUCAGCUUUUCUCUGUUAAUGAAAUCAAGUUCCUCCAUAAUUCAUGGUUAGUGACAUUAUCAACUUACUGACAUGACAUGAACUGGACACAAACCAGCCCCUUCUCUCUCUCUCUUUAUCUUCAGCAUUUCUUUCAUUUCUUUUAAUAUGGGCACCUAAGUUCUAGAACUUAUGAUAAAAGUACAAGUUAUAAACUAAUUUAAUUAAAGCAAUCAAGUUAUUAGAUGCGUUCAAUUUAAGUGAUGGAAAGUGGAGAUAUGACAUUUCUAAAAUUUUGAGAAUGCAUGGCGCUAAUGUGACAUAUCAAAGAAAAGGCAAAAAAUUUAAAAAAAAUAAAAGGCAAAGACCACAAGAAAAAAAAAAACCAAAAUAAUAGGAAAAUGGAAAUGAAGAGAAGGAGGUGUGUUUCCUCUCUCUUCACGGAAGUGUUGAAGUGGUUGCUCAAGGGUAGUCGGUGCUCAUCAAGACCUCAGCAUUGGCCCUCUCUCUAUGUGUUAAAAAAAUAAUUGAAGAAAAGGAGUAUAAGGUAAUUGGGGCACUAAGCUAACAAGUCGGUUACAAGACAUUGUGUGAAGCACAAGCCAACUUAGGACGAACCCUUGCGAGUUUCACUGUCUUACCCCAAGCAUAGGAAGCUACUAUAUUUGUCAAAAUAGAGGUGAUAGCUAUGCAAUUAUUUCUUCUUCUUUUGACUACAAAGGGCAAAAAGAAAACUUGCCGGCCUAUGUUUCCAAAUAUAUAAAAUCACUAAGCAAAUCGAAUAUUCUAAAUAGUUUAAUGUUGAAACAGUUCAAUCUAGGUCAAGUUGGUCUGAUCCAAAAGAGCAAGCAGCAAAGUGUGUGGCACAACAUUUUCAAUCGACAAGUUUAUGCAAUAUCAUGGUUGAAAUCAUUUCUAAACACAAACAAAUUAAAGGCGGUAUCGCCCAAAACUCUCUCUUUUCUUUAGAAGGCAACAUUUUGGAAAGAUCAGUCAUAAUAAUAAAUUUUAUAAAUUUUCCUUUUAGUUCUAAGCCGAAUAGAAAGUAGACUCUGCUAGUCCCCUGGCUUCUCAAAUAUUUAGAUCUAUCGUCCUUUGGCUAACUCGAAACAUCAACCAAAAUUUUAUUUUCAAUUUUUUUUCGACCAAAAAGUUCCUCACCAGAUUGAAAUUGGACAAUACUCAUGCAAAUUCCAAGAAGGCGAUUUCAUGUGAAGCUCUGCACCAUCAUUAGCAGUUGGAAUAUGAAGCUUAGGACGUCUGAGUGAUACAUACCUAUAACACUUCGAAAGGAGGAACCACGAGAUUGCUAUUACAAUCUGAAGCAUGAACUACGACCGCCGUCCGAGAAUCCAAAAAACAGAUCGACUUCCUCUGCUAAAAUCUUCAAGGGCCUCAAUUGUUGACUUGUUGACCAUUUGAUCUUAGUAGAUACUUACUGUGGUCUAAAUGCAUGAUUUCAGUCAUUCAUGAUAAUUUUGAUCAUCGCUGCAGUGGUUACUGUCUCAUGGCAUGAUAAACCCACGAGAACAAU